rnacentral:rRNA from 1 species
UACGUAGGGGGCUAGCGUUGUCCGGAAUCAUUGGGCGUAAAGAGCGCGUAGGCGGCUCGGUAAGUCCGCUGUAAAAGUCAAAGGCUCAACCUUUGAAUGUCAGUGGAAACUGCCGGGCUAGAGUCCGGAAGAGGCGAGUGGAAUUCCUGGUGUAGCCGUGAAAUGCGCAGAUAUCAGGAAGAACACCCGUGGCUAAGGCGGUUCUCUAGUACGGUACUGACGCUGAGACGCGAAAGCGUGGGGAGCGAACAGG